ensembl:misc_RNA
UUGGCUAUCCUGGAUAAUGAUGUCCUUUGGUUAUACACAAAGCAGAUACAGCUGUAGUGCAAACUUUCCCCAGACUAUGCCGCCAGUGUACAUCAACCCUGAUGUGGAGGAAUCACUUCUAGGGACAAAGCCGGGGGAGUUCAGCCUUCAUAACUAUUCAACAUUUGGACUCU